rnacentral:rRNA from 1 species
UGGUUAGGAUAAGCGCUGAAAGCAUCUAAGUGCGAAGCCAUCCGCAAGAUGAGAACUCCAUACAAGGGUCGUUGUAGACGACGACGUUGAUAGGGUGCAGGUGUAAAGCCAGCGAUGGCAAAGCCGAGCACUACUAAUUGCCCAAGACUUUCUUUUG